rnacentral:rRNA from 1 species
UUAUAAGAGACAGCAGUCGCCGCGGUAAUACGUAGGGUGCGAGCGUUAAUCGGAAUUACUGGGCGUAAAGCGUGCGCAGGCGGUGAUGUAAGACAGUUGUGAAAUCCCCGGGCUCAACCUGGGAACUGCAUCUGUGACUGCAUCGCUGGAGUGCGGCAGAGGGGGAUGGAAUUCCGCGUGUAGCAGUGAAAUGCGUAGAUAUGCGGAGGAACACCGAUGGCGAAGGCAAUCCCCUGGGCCUGCACUGACGCUCAUGCACGAAAGCGUGGGGAGCAAACAGGAUUAGAUACCCGCGUAGUCCCUGUCUCUUAUAC